rnacentral:rRNA from 1 species
UACGAAGGGGGCUAGCGUUGUUCGGAAUUACUGGGCGUAAAGCGCGCGUAGGCGGCUCUACAAGUCACUUGUGAAAUCUCCGGGCUUAACUCGGAACGGUCAAGUGAUACUGUCGAGCUAGAGUACAGAAGGGGCAACUGGAAUUCUCGGUGUAGCGGUGAAAUGCGUAGAUAUCGAGAGGAACACCUGCGGCGAAGGCGGGUUGCUGGGCUGAUACUGACGCUGAGGCGCGAAAGCCAGGGGAGCGAACGGG